rnacentral:rRNA from 1 species
UACGGAGGGUGCAAACGUUGCUCGGAAUCAUUGGGCGUAAAGCGCACGUAGGCGGACCGCUAAGUCGGAUGUGAAAGCCCUCGGCUUAACCGAGGAAGUGCAUUCGAAACUGACGGUCUUGAGUAUGGAAGAGGGUCGCGGAAUUCCCGGUGUAGAGGUGAAAUUCGUAGAUAUCGGGAGGAACACCAGUGGCGAAGGCGGCUUUCUGGGCCCUACCUGACGCUGAGACGCGAAAGCGUGGGGAGCGAACCGG